rnacentral:rRNA from 1 species
UACGGAGGGAGCUAGCGUUGUCCGGAUUUAUUGGGCGUAAAGAGCGUGUAGGCGCCAGACAGGUCCGUUGUGAAACUAGAGGCUUAACCUCUAGACGUCGAUGGAAACCGUCUGGCUAGAGUCCGGAAGAGGAGAAUGGAAUUCCUGGUGUAGCGGUGAAAUGACGCAGAUAUCAGGAAGAACACCCGUGGCUAAGGCGGUUCUCUAGUACGGUACUGACGCUGAGACGCGAAAGCGUGGGGAGCGAACAGG